rnacentral:rRNA from 1 species
CGCGUAGGCGGCGUUUUAAGUCGGGGGUGAAAGCCUGUGGCUCAACCACAGAAUGGCCUUCGAUACUGGGACGCUUGAGUCUGGUAGAGGUUGGUGGAACUGCGAGUGUAGAGGUGAAAUUCGUAGAUAUUGGAAAGAACACCAGUAGCGAAGGCGGCUAUCUGGCGCGGUAUUGACGCUGAGAUGCGAAAGCGUGGGGAGCAAACAGGAUUAGAUACCCUUGUA